rnacentral:rRNA from 1 species
GACGUAGGGCGCGAGCGUUGUCCGGAUUUAUUGGGCGUAAAGAGCGUGUAGGCGGCCCGACAGGUCCGUUGUGAAAACUCGAGGCUCAACCUCGAGACGUCGAUGGAAACCGUCGGGCUAGAGUCCGGAAGAGGAGAGUGGAAUUCCUGGUGUAGCGGUGAAAUGCGCAGAUAUCAGGAGGAACACCCGUGGCGAAAGCGGCUCUCUGGGACGGUACUGACGCUGAGACGCGAAAGCGUGGGGAGCGAACAGG